rnacentral:rRNA from 1 species
UACGGGGGGGGGCAAGCGUUGUUCGGAAUUACUGGGCGUAAAGGGCUCGUAGGUGGCCAACUAAGUCAGACGUGAAAUCCCUCGGCUUAACCGGGGAACUGCGUCUGAUACUGGAUGGCUUGAGUUCGGGAGAGGGAUGCGGAAUUCCAGGUGUAGCGGUGAAAUGCGUAGAUAUCUGGAGGAACACCGGUGGCGAAGGCGGCAUCCUGGACCGACACUGACACUGAGGAGCGAAAGCCAGGGGAGACAAAGCGGG